GAAACAGGUGCUAAUACCGUAUAACACUAUUUUCCGCAUGGAAGAAAGUUGAAAGGCGCUUUUGCGUCACUGAUGGAUGGACCCGCGGUGCAUUAGCUAGUUGGUGAGGUAACGGCUCACCAAGGCCACGAUGCAUAGCCGACCUGAGAGGGUGAUCGGCCACACUGGGACUGAGACACGGCCCAGACUCCUACGGGAGGCAGCAGUAGGGAAUCUUCGGCAAUGGACGAAAGUCUGACCGAGCAACGCCGCGUGAGUGAAGAAGGUUUUCGGAUCGUAAAACUCUGUUGUUAGAGAAGAACAAGGAUGAGAGUAGAACGUUCAUCCCUUAACGGUAUCUAACCAGAAAGCCACGGCUAACUACGUGCCAGCAGCCGCGGUAAUACGUAGGUGGCAAGCGUUGUCCGGAUUUAUUGGGCGUAAAGCGAGCGCAGGCGGUUUCUUAAGUCUGAUGUGAAAGCCCCCGGCUCAACCGGGGAGGGUCAUUGGAAACUGGGAGACUUGAGUGCAGAAAAGGAGAGUGGAAUUCCAUGUGUAGCGGUGAAAUGCGUAGAUAUAUGGAGGAACACCAGUGGCGAAGGCGGCUCUCUGGUCUGUAACUGACGCUGAGGCUCGAAAGCGUGGGGAGCGAACAGGAUUAGAUACCCUGGUAGUCC
rnacentral:rRNA from 1 species